GACGAACGCUGGCGGCGUGCUUAACACAUGCAAGUCGAACGAGAAAGCCCUUCGGGGUAAGUACAGUGGCGAACGGGUGAGUAACACGUGGGCAACCUGCCCCAGAGAGCGGGACAACCCGGGGAAACCCGGGCUAAUACCGCAUGAUGCGUCUCCACUCAAGUGGAGCCGCCAAAUGGUAGCUUCGGCCUCCGCCCUGGGAUGGGCCCGCGCAGGAUGAGCUAGUUGGUUGGGGUAACGGCCCACCAAGGCGACGAUCCGUAGCUGGUCUGAGAGGACGAUCAGCCACACUGAGACUGAGACACGGCCCAGACUCCUACGGGAGGCAGCAGUGGGGAAUCUUGCGCAAUGGGCGAAAGCCUGACGCAGCAACGCCGCGUGGGGGAAGAAGGCCUUCGGGUUGUAAACCUCUUUCAGUAGGGACGAAGCUUCCGGGGUUAAUAGCCUACGGGGUGACGGUACCUACAGAAGAAGCCCCGGCUAACUACGUGCCAGCCGCCGCAGUAA
rnacentral:rRNA from 1 species